AACAGGAUUAGAUACCCUGGUAGUCCAUGCCGUAAACGAUGUCUACUAGCCGUUGGGGCCUUUGAGGCCUUAGUGGCGCAGCUAACGCGAUAAGUAGACCGCCUGGGGAGUACGGUCGCAAGACUAAAACUCAAAUGAAUUGACGGGGGCCCGCACAAGCGGCGGAGCAUGUGGUUUAAUUCGAUGCAACGCGAAGAACCUUACCUGGUCUUGACAUAGUAAGAACUUUCCAGAGAUGGAUUGGUGCCUUCGGGAACUUACAUACAGGUGCUGCAUGGCUGUCGUCAGCUCGUGUCGUGAGAUGUUGGGUUAAGUCCCGCAACGAGCGCAACCCUUUUCCUUAUUUGCCAGCGGGUUAAGCCGGGAACUUUAAGGAUACUGCCAGUGACAAACUGGAGGAAGGCGGGGACGACGUCAAGUCAUCAUGGCCCUUACGACCAGGGCCACACACGUGCUACAAUGGUCGGUACAAAGGGUUGCUACCUAGCGAUAGGAUGCUAAUCUCAAAAAGCCGAUCGUAGUCCGGAUUGGAGUCUGCAACUCGACUCCAUGACGUCGGAAUCGCUAGUAAUCGCGGAUCAGAAUGCCGCGGUGAAUACGUUCCCGGGCCUUGUACACACCGCCCGUCACACCAUGGGAAUUUGUUGCACCAGAAGUAGGUAGUCUAACCGCAAGGAGGACGCUUACCACGGUGUGGCCGAUGACUGGGGUGAAGUCGUAACAAGGUAACC
rnacentral:rRNA from 1 species